GAUGAACGCUGGCGGCGUGCCUAACACAUGCAAGUCGAGCGAUUCUCUUCGGAGAAGAGCGGCGGACGGGUGAGUAACGCGUGGGUAACCUACCCUGUACACACGGAUAACAUACCGAAAGGUAUGCUAAUACGAGAUAAUAUGCUUUUAUCGCAUGGUAGAAGUAUCAAAGCUUUUGCGGUACAGGAUGGACCCGCGUCUGAUUAGCUAGUUGGUAAGGUAACGGCUUACCAAGGCGACGAUCAGUAGCCGACCUGAGAGGGUGAUCGGCCACAUUGGAACUGAGACACGGUCCAAACUCCUACGGGAGGCAGCAGUGGGGAAUAUUGCACAAUGGGCGAAAGCCUGAUGCAGCAACGCCGCGUGAGCGAUGAAGGCCUUCGGUCGUAAGACUCUGUCCUCAAGGAAGAUAAUGACGGUACUUGAGGAGGAAGACCCCGGCCUAACUACGUGCCAGCAGCCGCGGUAAACGUAGACGUG
rnacentral:rRNA from 1 species